CAGAUGUAAACAUCAAGUCAACACUGCUAUUAUACAGUAGGAUCCAAGGUGACCAGAAGGUCAGUGAGGAGGAACCAUGGCGCCAAGAGCUUCAGGUCAGGUGGAGUCGUCCUGCAGGCUGUUUCCUGCUCUACUGAUGGUGGCCUGGAUCGUUGGCUGUGCGGUGGUCAUCUACUUAGUCUUCGCCUAGAAGAGACUCCUAGUCUGUGUGCUUCAUGUUGGAACUCACCUCCUGACUACAGGAAGCUGAACAGAAGGCAAAGCAAAGUACCAAGGGAACUGUGUUUUUCUGUCCAUUGUGCAUGUCCGUAAAUAAUCAGCAGCAUCUACCGCACGCCCAAAUUACUCUUAGGCCAAUCAGAUCAAGCAUUACGUUUGUUUAAGUUUUGUGCGUUGGAGCUGCCAAAUCGGUGAGAAGCUGCUCUUGUGAUCACUGUCAUGAAGCCACACCCAUCCCAAAUCGCGUUAGAGAAGUUCGGAACAAGAGUGUGUCGUCUAUAUAGAACUAAUGAAGCUCAAAUAGGAACUCAUUACAUGUAGUAAUAAGGAUUUCCAUCAGCCUAAUCGAGGUGUAGAUUACAUCACACAUUACAGUGUUCCAACUUGUAAAGAAGGCUGCAUGGGAUUUGUCUUUUAACGCAACUCCGAGCAGCCAAUGGCAUUGUCCGCUUUAGGGGUGAUGAUGGGAGCCACUUGUGGAUCUGACAGCUCUAACACAGUUCCACAUCAGACACUGCCGGCUAGCAUGGAUCUGGUAGAAUCUAGCCCUUGCUGACUGUCAGUGUCAAUGUGUGAUCUUUAUAUUGUUUCCCUAUCUGUGGCUCACACAUGAUAUUUCAUAAAGGAUCUGUCUGUACUCAAUCUGUACAA